GACGAACGCUGGCGGCGCGCUUAACACAUGCAAGUCGAGCGAAGCGGCGGACGGGUGAGUAACACGUGAGUAACCUGCCUUAGACAUUGGGAUAGCCUCGGGAAACCGGGAUUAAUACCAAAUGGUCUAAGAUUGACUCGCGUCCCAUUAGCUAGUUGGUGGGUAACGGCCCACCAAGGCGUUGAUGGGUAGCCGGCCUGGGUGGGUCAGCGGCGACAUUGGAACGGGGAAACGGUCCAAACUGUACGGGAGGGAGUAGUGGGGAAUAUUGAGCAAUGGACGGAACUCUGAUUCAGCGGCGCCGCGUGAACGACUAAGGGUUUCGGGUUGUAAUCCGCUUCGCUAUCGAACAUUUUUUUGGUGGGUUGAGGGUAGCUGGAGAAGAAGCGCCGGCUAACUACGUGCCAGCCGCCGCGGUAAUUC
rnacentral:rRNA from 1 species